rnacentral:tmRNA from 1 species
GGGGUUGACUGGAUUUGACGGCGAGACGAAAUGGUACGUAAGCACGCGGAGGCUCGUUGGUUUCCUCCUUAAUCAGAGCUAUCAAACAAUUAAUUGGCGAAACAAACUACGCUCUCGCUGCCUGACCGAAGUACAGUAGGUCACUGGCUUAAUUCCGCCACGAGGUGACGGAACGAGACAUCGCUCUUGAGGAUGUUGUUCCGAAUCUGAAAGGUAUAGCGGUGCAGGAAAAAUCGGAAAUAGUCGGCACAGGCCCCGAUGUGCGGAUGAAGAUUUAGGGGAUAAGGCAUUGGUUGGUGGUUCAGGUCUUGCCAAUGCACGAAAACCGAAGUCUGAAAUAAGCGUGUAGAAAGCGUAUGGUUUCCUUGUGCGGACGUGGGUUCGACUCCCACCAGCUCCACU